CACUGUUAAUAAUUGUUUGUUCCCCAUUUAUUUAUUUUAAAAAAAAUAUUAAAAAUAUAUCUAAAAGUUAGCCCCUCGAUUGCAAUUUUUAAUAUUUUUUCGUCCUUAAUUACUCGUAAAUAUUCAUUUUCGAUUGUUCUUAUAUAAAAUACGUUUGUUCUCUUUCGAAAUUACUCAUUUUUUGUUUAAUUAAUUGUAUUAGUUGAAUAAAUGUAUACAAAAUAUGUGUACUGCGCAUGCCAUAAGUGUAUAAUCUAUGGCGCAUGCGUCAACUAUAAUGCCUAAACUUUCUACGCGGUUUUAAUCGUGAAAAAAAAACAAUUAUAAAUCCUGAAGGAUCAAUUAAUUGGUAUACAGUUUAAUUAAAAAAAUUAAAAAAUAAAUAAAUAAAAUAAUGUGCAUUCGCGUAAAGUUAGCCCAAAUACAUUUUUUCCAUCCUCCUAUAUACCUAUCGCUAUGAAGGUAUAAAAAAGAUAGGUUAAGAGUUCACAUAGGUUAUGUAUUGAAAUUGUUGGAAAAUUAUUUCAUGUUUUAGCUGGAAAACUACAUGGAGAAUUAUAUGCAAUACAAGAUAAUGAGCUCCAUCAAAUGAAUUCGAAUGAAACCAAACUGUUUACCAUCCAAAUUCGAUUGUCGGGCAGAUAGAAAACGAAAAUUCACUCAUAGUGAACCUCGGCCUGCAUUUGUGAAACGGCAAAGACUCACUAUUAUCAAGGAAAUUGAAGAGACGACUAAAAACGAGAUGUGUCGUAUUAUUAUACCUUUGCCAUCUUGUAGUCAAGAUGUCCAGCCACUUGAAAAUAGGUGUAGUAAUGACAAAGCUAUCCAAGUAGCUCCAGCACAGGAACACAAAGGCAAGGCAAGUGUGUAUUGCCACAUCACCCCUUAAUAUAUCUGAAGCAAGUAUAAGUAAACAAUCAGAACCAGCAAAAAAAAAACUGUUGUUCCUGAGGACAAAUUUGACAGUGAUGAGUCAAAUGCACCAGCAACAGAAGGAUCAACUGUUGACUAUGAGUUAUCUCUCUAUAUCUCCACUCCAUCAAAGACUUGUGCACUUCAGACUAUAGCUCUCAAGAAGACUAAAAAGUUGAAAAAAUGAAUGUGUUAACAACUUUAUCUAAAGUGAAAAAUAAACAACGUUUAUAUAUUGGUCUUCCACAAGAAUUAUGUUUCAUAAUAGGCUUGAUUGAGAAACAUACAAAUGUUUCUGAACAAAAUAUUAUAUUAUGUCUGAUGAGAAUAACAUUAAAUAGAACAUUCUCUCAAUUGGCUGAUGAUUUCGAUUUAUCUGUAAGUCAAGCAAGCAAUAUAUUUUUCAACAAACUCCCAGAAAUUGCAAAUGUAAUAUCACCCCUUGUUAGACUAUAAAAAAAACAAUACAAUAAAUAUAUAUGCAGGAAGGAUAAUUGAUGUCAACUUGGUGGAAAAUAGAAAGUUUUUAGAUAGUUUGCCACCUACAAAACUCUUUUUAAAUAAGUAAUCCUUACUUAUAAAUAGGAAGUUUUGUAAGUAUUUUCACUCUUCAUUCAAAAACUACUGAACAGAUUUUAAUAAGACUUUUAUGCUGGUCUUCUAUGGCUAGCAACUCAUUAUUAUUUUGAUUCUGUUUUCCACAAAUGUGCUAAAUAUGGGCUUAUAUAUAUGAAAAGGAAUAAAUAUUAAUGUUAUGUAACCUUUGUACCUGUAUGUUAAGAAGAAUUUUUAAUAAAACAUAAUUUAAAUUGAAAUAUUAUUUUUAUUAAAUCACAUUCACUUUGUACACAUCAAUAUUUUGUACUCCCUAAAAGGAAAAUAGGUAUAAAGUUUUUUUUAAAUAUUUAACAUUACAUUUUUGUGUAAGAUUAGAAAAUGGUUAUUCUUCCAAAAAGAAACUACAUUAUCUAACAACUGUGCAACUUACUCGGAAUCAAAAUCAAUACCUACUAAUUAUAGUGACCUGAUUAGUUUUUUCAAAGUUGCUGGAUGCUACACAAAAGUAGCAAGUUUUACUUUUAGCACAAUACAUAUGCAUUUGAACUUGUGCAUAAUAUCUUUCUUUAAUUUUUUUUUGCCUUUUUAUUUAUGGAAACAUAGCAUUACUCACUUGCUUGUUUGUAGAUCUAUCAAAAAAACAUAAUUUAUGUUUUUUUUAGCACAGUGGGCAAUACCCUAUUAUUCAUAUUAAUUAUAUACGGCGCGGCGAUGCGAAAAUUCAUUACUUAAUUAUUUAAGAAUGAUAGGCAUAAUAUAAUAUUUUAAUUCGCGAUCUGUUUAUAAUUUUUAAUAUAUGAUUUAAAAAUAAGUUAUCUUUAAUAUUUUUAAUUUUGUGAUUUAUGGGGUGGUCACAGUCAUUAUUAUAAAAAUAGAAAUUUUGAGGAAAUAUAAAUGUUUAAUACAAAUUAUUUUGAUAAUCGAAAUAAAUUCAUAUCAAUCCAAAUUCAUAUUUGAACUAUGAAAAUUGUAUGGUAUGUAAACAGAAAUAUAUUUUAUAAUUAUAA